AUGCAAUGAUGUUUUGAAUUUCUUCACCUGAAAUAAUCAUGAAGUUGUUUUAUUGAGCUUUUUAACCCUGAGCAUC